rnacentral:rRNA from 1 species
UACAUGGGGUGCAAACGUUGCUCGGAAUCAUUGGGCGUAAAGCGCACGUAGGCGGCCCAGCAAGCGGGGAGUGAAAGCCCUCGGCUUAACCGAGGAAGUGCUUUCCGAACUACUGGGCUUGAAUACUGGAGAGGGUCGCGGAAUUCCCGGUGUAGAGGUGAAAUUCGUAGAUAUCGGGAGGAACACCAGUGGCGAAGGCGGCGACCUGGACAGAUAUUGACGCUGAGGUGCGAAAGCGUGGGGAGCAAACAGG